AACGCACGAGACCUGCGGACCUGCGGAGGGAUCAUUAUCGAGAGACGCCCCCGCAAGGGGGUGACCCUUUCUGCCCUUUGUUUGAUGAACCCCUUGUUUCUUUGGCAGGCGACGACGCCCGCCAGAGACCAAUUUUAAAACUCGUUGCAGUGAAACCUGUCUCUGAAAUCAUGAUAGAAAUUGAAUCAAAACUUUCAACAAUGGAUCUCU
rnacentral:misc_RNA from 1 species